UGUAUGGCUUUUAUAAAAAACCAAUUCAAAUCUUAAAUGAACUGUGCAUUCGUAAACUGAUCUCAGUUGUGAAAAAACUUUCUAGGAAACGCUCUCCGUAAAAGAAACGUGUUGCAGCGCCGCCGGAAUAUCACUGAAUUCAAAUUUUGAAGAAGCAAGUGUACGCACCACCAAAAUUUUGUGAAUGAAACGAACACAUACAGAAAUGGUCACCUACACUUGAACAAACACAUGUUGCACCGGCGCCAGCGACAGCGGAAGCAGCGAACCGAAAACCAAGAUCGCCUGCAGAGAAAGUCCUGGGCAUAUGCGACCUUAAAGUGCGCUACCUAAAAGUGUACUUUUGGAUAUACAUACAUAAUAAUAUAAAAUAUAAUAUAAUUAUGUUUCUCACUGACACUUUA